UACGAAGGGGGCUAGCGUUGCUCGGAAUCACUGGGCGUAAAGCGCACGUAGGCGGCUUCUUAAGUCAGGGGUGAAAUCCUGGAGCUCAACUCCAGAACUGCCUUUGAUACUGAGGAGCUUGAGUCCGGGAGAGGUGAGUGGAACUGCGAGUGUAGAGGUGAAAUUCGUAGAUAUUCGCAAGAACACCAGUGGCGAAGGCGGCUUACUGGUCCGGUUCUGACGCUGAGGCGCGAAAGCGUGGGGAGCGAACAGG
rnacentral:rRNA from 1 species